rnacentral:rRNA from 1 species
UACGUAGGGUGCGAGCGUUAAUCGGAAUUACUGGGCGUAAAGCGUGCGCAGGCGGUUCGCCAAGUCAGGUGUGAAAUCCCCGGGCUUAACCUGGGAAUUGCGCUUGAAACUAGCGGGCUUGAGUGCGGCAGAGGGGGGUGGAAUUCCACGUGUAGCAGUGAAAUGCGUAGAGAUGUGGAGGAACACCGAUGGCGAAGGCAGGUCUCUGGGCCAUUACUGACGCUGAGAAGCGAAAGCAUGGGGAGCGAACAGG